rnacentral:rRNA from 1 species
UGUGAACCACCUGAUCCCUUCCCGAACUCAGAAGUGAAACCAAUUUGCGCCAAUGGUAGUGUGGCAUUCGCCAUGUGAGAGUAGGACAUCGCCAGCU